rnacentral:rRNA from 1 species
GAGCACGUAGGUGGGUUUGUAAGUCAGAUGUGAAAGCCUUCUGUUCAACGGAAGAAUUGCAUCUGAAACUGCGAGUCUUGAGUGUAGGAGGGGAGGAUGGAACUUCUGGUGGAGCGGUGAAAUGCGUAGAUAUCAGAAGGAACUCCGGCGGCGAAAGCGAUUCUCUGGCCUAUUACUGACACUCAGUGUGCGAAAGCUAGGGGAGCAAACGGGAUUAGAUACCCCGGUAGUCCUAGCCGUAAACGAUGGGCACUAAGUAGAGGGGUUUU